UGCUCGGUGGACUGAGCGUCUGUCUCUUGAUUUCAGCUCAGGUCACGAUCCCAGGGUGGUGAGAUGGAGUCUGUGUCGGGCUCCGCUGGAGCCUGCUUGGGGUUCUCUCUCUCCCUGUCUCUCUGCCCCUUCUCUGCUGUUUCUCUCAAAAUAAAUAAACUUAAAAUAAAAUGAAAUAAAAUAGGGGUAAUAGAACUGUCCUCUGUGGGGAGGGCAAGAGGAUUCUAGGAAAUCAUGCAGAGAAGUCCUUUGUGACAAGCCUCGUCUUUAUCAAGCAUUCAGUGUUAGUUAUCGAUGAUGAGGAGGGGCUCUCCCAAGGAAGGAAGAAGGCUAAGGGUGUGGGAGGUGGUCAGUGACCCCCUUUUACGGUUGCUGAGGUUAGCGUGGGGGUGGGUGUCAGGACCAUCCACCUCAGGUAGUCCUUCCCAGAUGCUGUUGAGACCAGCGGCGGUGGCGAAAUGUCACCGGCUGACCAUGGCAGAGGCUGUGUAGGAGGUGAAAGCUGCUUCCAGGGGUGUGAAUGUAUUGUCUCAUUAAAGAAAUUGGCCGAGCCUGAGGUGUGUGUGUCUACUGGUUGAAUGAGCAGAAGAGGACUGAACAGGUUGAGAAGCUGACAACUUGAACUUCCCAGCGGCCCGCUUCAACUAAGUCCUCAUCACGUGUGGUUUUUAAAAGAGGUGUUUCACGUUCUUAUCCAUUACAAACAAGUGAACAAAACUAUUGUUAAAAUAAAUACUAAAGGUGUCGGCUGUGAGCAGCUGUGUGGUGGGAGGAGCUGUUAACGGGAGCCGGAGCUGCCGAUGAAGCUGAUCGAGGUGACGACCUCCCAAAAGCACAGGGACCUGUGGCAGCGCCCAUGGGGGAAAAGCCAGUGGGGAGCCUGGCCGGGAUUGGUGAAGUCUUGGGCAAGAAGCUGGAGGAACGGGGCUUUGACAAGGCCUAUGUGGUUCUUGGCCAGUUCCUGACUCUCUUUUAUACAC